rnacentral:rRNA from 1 species
AGUGAACGCUGGCGGCGUGCCUAAUACAUGCAAGUCGAACGGAGAUUAAGUAGCUUGCUAUUUAAUCUUAGUGGCGCACGGGUGAGUAAUAUAUAGCUAACUUGCCCAUUACUAAGGGACAACAGUUGGAAACGACUGCUAAUACCUUAUACUCCGUAUCUAUAUAAGUAGAUACGGGAAAGUUUUUCGGUAAUGGAUAGGGCUAUAUCGUAUCAGCUAGUUGGUAAGGUAAUGGCUUACCAAGGCUAUGACGCGUAACUGGUCUGAGAGGAUGAUCAGUCACACUGGAACUGAGACACGGUCCAGACUCCUACGGGAGGCAGCAGUAGGGAAUAUUGCUCAAUGGGGGAAACCCUGAAGCAGCAACGCCGCGUGGAGGAUGACACUUUUCGGAGCGUAAACUCCUUCUCUUGGGAAAGAAUUAUGACGGUACCCAAGGAAUAAGCACCGGCUAACUCCGUG